UACAGAGGGUGCAAGCGUUGUUCGGAAUUAUUGGGCGUAAAGGGCGCGUAGGCGGUGCGGUAAGUCUGCAGUGAAAUCUCUGGGCUCAACUCAGAGUCUGCUGUAGAAACUGCCGUGCUUGAGUGUGGGAGAGGUGAGUGGAAUUCCUGGUGUAGCGGUGAAAUGCGUAGAUAUCAGGAGGAACACCUGUGGCGAAAGCGGCUCACUGGACCAUAACUGACGCUGAUGCACGAAAGCUAGGGGAGCAAACAGG
rnacentral:rRNA from 1 species